rnacentral:rRNA from 1 species
CGGGUUGUAAAGCACUUUCAGUCGUGAGGAAGGCGGUACGUUAUAGCGUAUCGUUUGACGUUAGCGACAGAAGAAAGCACCGGCUAACUCCGUGCCAGCAGCCGCGGUAAUACGGAGGGUGCGAGCGUUAAUCGGAAUUACUGGGCGUAAAGCGCAUGCAGGUGGUUUGUUAAGUCAGAUGUGAAAGACCCGGGGCGUCAACCUACGGAAUAGCAUUUGUAAACUAGGCAGACUAGAGUACUGUAGAGGGGGGUAGGAAUUUCAGGUGUAGCGGUGAAAAUGCGUAGAGAUCUGAAGGAAUACCGGUGGCGAAGGCGGCCCCCUCGGACAGAUACUGACACUCAGAUGCGAAAGCGUGGGGAGCAAACAGGAUUAGAUACCCUGGUAG